GCACUGCUGAAGAAUCCCAAAUAAGACGAAAUGACCAUCCAGUGC
rfam:Schistosoma curassoni strain Dakar, Senegal genome assembly, scaffold: SCTD_scaffold0001971